ACGGGUGAGUAAUGCCUAGGAAUCUGCCUGGUAGUGGGGGAUAACGCUCGGAAACGGACGCUAAUACCGCAUACGUCCUACGGGAGAAAGCAGGGGACCUUCGGGCCUUGCGCUAUCAGAUGAGCCUAGGUCGGAUUAGCUAGUUGGUGAGGUAAUGGCUCACCAAGGCGACGAUCCGUAACUGGUCUGAGAGGAUGAUCAGUCACACUGGAACUGAGACACGGUCCAGACUCCUACGGGAGGCAGCAGUGGGGAAUAUUGGACAAUGGGCGAAAGCCUGAUCCAGCCAUGCCGCGUGUGUGAAGAAGGUCUUCGGAUUGUAAAGCACUUUAAGUUGGGAGGAAGGGCAGUUACCUAAUACGUAUCUGUUUUGACGUUACCGACAGAAUAAGCACCGGCUAACUCUGUGCCAGCAGCCGCGGUAAUACAGAGGGUGCAAGCGUUAAUCGGAAUUACUGGGCGUAAAGCGCGCGUAGGUGGUUUGUUAAGUUGGAUGUGAAAUCCCCGGGCUCAACCUGGGAACUGCAUUCAAAACUGACAAGCUAGAGUAUGGUAGAGGGUGGUGGAAUUUCCUGU
rnacentral:rRNA from 1 species